CGUCUCCACCACCAGCCUUCCCUGCAGUUUGCAGGAAGUGCAAGACGGCAUGGGGACAAAGCGGCCAAAUCCCAAACCAGUGUCUGUGCCGUACCUCAGCCCCUUGGUACUGCGCAAGGAGCUGGAAACGUUGCUGGAGAAUGAGGGAGAUCAGGUAAUCUACACCCACAAGUUCCUCAGCCAGCACCCAAUCAUUUUCUGGAACCUGGUGUGGUAUUUCCGCCGCCUGGA